AUUCUUGGGGUUCCUGGGAUCAUGGAACAACUAUUACACUUAUACCCACAUACGCAUAGAACUUUGUUCAGGAAAAUGAAAAACAAACAUGUUGGCAUUUUGGUAUUGUGGUGAGAUCAGAGUUUAAUGAAGCUAAUCGGCACAACUUUGUUUUUGAUUCAGAAUCCAGUGAGACUCAUCUCAAUGAGACUCAACGGGACUGUGGUGUGUGUUGGAUUCUGCUGUACUCUCUGUGUCCAGCUUCUGCUGUUCUCUCCUCUCUCCUCUCCUCUCUUCUGGUUUAUCACCUCUGUCAGAAAAAAGCUAAAGAACCUCCAGCUGAUCAGCAAAGACCUCACACAAGACUGAAUCAGGAUGAAGAUGUGUGUUAUGCUGCACUGGAAAUCCGUCCAGCAUCACACAGACCAAAGAAGAAGAAAACCCAGAGUUCUGACUUCAGCACCUAUUCUGCCAUCAAUACUUCUAGGAUGUAGAGAGUCUACAACAAAAGACAUGACUAGAGACUAGGGAUGCUAAUUUUGAAUUUUUUUUACUGUCCAAUAACCAACCCUUGUUAACCGAUUAUUAACCGUUAACUGACAACAUUAGUACGUCACAUGCAGCGGUGCUAUUUUUAGCGCCUAACAAGCCGCCCAGCUGCAACGAAAAGCCGAUGCACAAACAAGUUAAAUCCAUCAUUUAUCGCCAGCUGCAGUGUAUACGCAAAACAGACAACCGGGGACUCAGUUGUCUGUUUUGCUAUCUAGUUGAGAAAUGAGUAACAUUUGUGGUGAAGAGCGCUAGCAUUAUUACCUACGUGUGUAACAUCGGUACCCAACAACGGCAAUAAGAGACAUCGUCAGAAGUCACGUGACUGCAAGGCAUCUACACCAGCGUUGCUGUCGUGACUGGUAA